AGAGUUUGAUCCUGGCUCAGGAUUAACGCUGGCGGCGUGCCUAAUACAUGCAAGUCGAACGGAAGUACCUUCGGGUACUUUAGUGGCGAACGGGUGAGUAAUACAUAGGUAACCUACCCUUAAGACGAGGAUAGCCAUUGGAAACGAUGGAUAAAACUGGAUAGGAUAUAGAGGAAGAAUCUUUUAUAUUUAAAAGAGAGAUCUGCUUAAGGAGGGGCCUGUGGCGCAUUAGCUAGUUGGUGGGGUAAGGGCCUACCAAGGCGAUGAUGCGUAGCCGGACUGAGAGGUUGAACGGCCACAAUGGAACUGAGAACGGUCCAUACUCCUACGGGGAGGCAGCAGUAGGGAAUUUUCGGCAAUGGGGGGAACCCUGACCGAGCAACGCCGCGUGAACGAAGAAGUUAUUCGUAAUGUAAAGUUCUUUUAUCAGGGAAGAAAGAGGAAUUUGACGGUACCUGAGGAAUAAGCUCCGGCUAACUACGUG
rnacentral:rRNA from 1 species